rnacentral:rRNA from 1 species
UACGAAGGGGGCUAGCGUUGCUCGGAAUCACUGGGCGUAAAGGGUGCGUAGGCGGGUCUUUAAGUCAGGGGUGAAAUCCUGGAGCUCAACUCCAGAACUGCCUUUGAUACUGAGGAUCUUGAGUUCGGGAGAGGUGAGUGGAACUGCGAGUGUAGAGGUGAAAUUCGUAGAUAUUCGCAAGAACACCCGUGGCGAAGGCGGCUCUCUGGAACGCAACUGACGCUGAGACGCGAAAGCGUGGGGAGCAAACAGGG